rnacentral:rRNA from 1 species
ACUCCUACGGGAGGCAGCAGUGGGGAAUUUUGGACAAUGGGCGCAAGCCUGAUCCAGCAAUGCCGCGUGUGUGAAGAAGGCCUUCGGGUUGUAAAGCACUUUUGUCAGGGAAGAAAUCUGUUUGGUUAAUACCCGAACAGGAUGACGGUACCUGAAGAAUAAGCACCGGCUAACUACGUGCCAGCAGCCGCGGUAAUACGUAGGGUGCGAGCGUUAAUCGGAAUUACUGGGCGUAAAGCGUGCGCAGGCGGCACUGUAAGACAGAUGUGAAAUCCCCGGGCUCAACCUGGGAACUGCAUUUGUGACUGCAGAGCUAGAGUGUGUCAGAGGGGGUGGAAUUCCACGUGUAGCAGUGAAAUGCGUAGAGAUGUGGAGGAACACCGAUGGCGAAGGCAGCCCCCUGGGAUAACACUGACGCUCAGGCACGAAAGCGUGGGGAGCAAACAGGAUUAGAUACCCUGGUAGCUA